rnacentral:misc_RNA from 1 species
UCUUCUGAAAACGGUUGUUGG